UUUGUAGGCUGAAAUGUAAGUCAAGUGUGAAAUCCCCGAGCUAAACUUGGGACGUGCAUUUGAAACUGUGUUUCUUGAGUAUCGUAGAGGGUGGUGGAAUUGUAGGUGUAGGAGUGACAUCCGUAGAGAUCUGCAGGAACAUCAGAGGCGAAGGCGACCACCUGGCCGAUGACUGACGCUGAGGAACGAAAGCGUGGGGAGCAAACAGGAUUAGAUACCCUGGUAGUCCACGCCGUAAACGAUGAUAACUAGGUGUUGGGAGAAUUGACCCUUUCAGUACCGUAGCACACGCGCUAAGUUAUCCGCCUGGGGAGUACGGCCGCAAGGCUAAA
rnacentral:rRNA from 1 species